AGUUUGAUCCUGGCUCAGGACGAACGCUGGCGGCGUGCCUAAUACAUGCAAGUCGAGCGGACCGACGGGAGCUUGCUCUCUUAGGUCAGCGGCGGACGGGUGAGUAACACGUGGGUAACCUGCCUGUAAGACUGGGAUAACUCCGGGAAACCGGGGCUAAUACCGGAUGCUUGAUUGAACCGCAUGGUUCCAAUCAUAAAAGGUGGCUUUCAGCUACCACUUACAGAUGGACCCGCGGCGCAUUAGCUAGUUGGUGAGGUAACGGCUCACCAAGGCGACGAUGCGUAGCCGACCUGAGAGGGUGAUCGGCCACACUGGGACUGAGACACGGCCCAGACUCCUACGGGAGA
rnacentral:rRNA from 1 species